rnacentral:lncRNA from 1 species
GUGGUUGUUGACAAUCCUUUUCAUUCCUUGGCUUGUAAUUGUAUGCCUCUGCCUUUACUCUUGUGUUCAUUUGGUGCUCUCUCUAUAUGUAUCUGUGCCUAAAUUUCCCUCUGCUUAUAAGAAAACCAGUCAUAUUGGAUUAGGAACCACUUUAGUCCAGUAUGAUCUAAUUUUAACUAAUUAUAUAGUUAAAGGCCCUAUUUUAACAUAAGCUCACAUUCUGAGUUUAUGAGUGGGCAUGGAUUUGGGGGUCUUCAACCCAGUUUAAGCAUGUAUAUAAUAGUUGACUUAAAGUGUUUUUUGAAAAUGGAAAUUUUUAAUAAUAUAAUGUGUAAACACUGGACAUCAGAUACUCUCCCUUUCUGGUGUUUGUUGCUGCCACUGCUUGUUUCUCUUGCUGUUUCUUAUUAAUUAAUUUUCCGAACCAGUUCUAUAAAGUCUCUGUUCUUUGUCACACGUAUCACUGAAGUCUCUGCUUGCUUAGCUUUGUGGUCACCUAAUGAUUCAAAAGACAUUUCCGUAAAUGCCUGGAAGCAAUCAGUCUUCUAGCCUUCGCUGAUGGGUUCUGCAUAUGAGUUCAGGCAUGCCUUCAGGACUCCACCAGGCACUUGGUAAUUCUGCCUUAUCCUUCACUUUUUGCUUGAGCAGCGCCGAAAGGUGAGCCAGAGGAGGGAAAUUUGGACAUGGACACAUAGGGAAGACAGCCAUGUGGAGACAGAGGCAGAGGUGGACCUGCUGCCGCAAAACCACAGGGCGCCAAGUACUGUGGGCCACUGAGAAAACUAAAGGAGAGGAAGGAUUCUUCCCUGGAGCUUUGGAGAGGGUGCGGCCCUACUUUCACCUGGAUUUCAGACUUCAGACUUCCAGAACCAUGAAGGAAUAAGCUCUCUUUGUUUCAAAACCACUCAGUCAAGGCACUUUGUUACAACAGCCUAGGAAACUAAUACAGGAAUUGGUAUUAGUAAAAUCAUUAUUGUUGGCUCAUAUGACCAUACUCAUAGAACUUUUAAGAUAAUAUGUAAAUAAGCAACUAAAACAAAAAGUCAGAAAGCUUUAUGGUGCCAGAUCAAUAUACAAAUAAAUAUCAUUAUUUUCCAAUAAAAACAAUUAUAUAAUGUAACAAUAAUAAAGUAAUAAUACAAAGAAACUUCCCAUAAUAGCUACCAAAAAUUCUAAAGUAGUUAUAACUAGUUUUUAAAAAUAAUAUGUUCAGAAAUUUUAUAUAAACAAAUAUAAAUUUUAAGUUAAAAAGAAAAAGAAAUGGAUAAAUACAUCAUUAAUGAAGUUUCAAUCAAAAUUCAUACAUGAAUAUUUCACAGAAUUUGACAAGUAUAUCUAAAAAUUAUUUUAAAGGAGUAAAACGAGCUUGGAAUUAUUUGAAGAAGAAAGUAUUUAUCCUUUUGUAUAUUAAGAGUUAGCCUAAGUCUCCCGGGACUCAAUGGUAUCACCUCUCUAACAAAAAAGGUCACAGAGAUAUGAAAACACAUCAUAAAAAAAUCUAUCGUUUUAUCACACAAUGAUUUGAUCACCUGUGCACAUGGAAACAACCUUAUUUUAAAUCCUUGUUUAGAGUCAAUUUUAAGGGAUAAUGUUGCAUGUGAAGCUCCAUAAUCAUUCUUUUGUGUUAAGUGGUUGAGGAAAAUAUCAGGCUGGUGAGAUGUUAAUUAUAGGUCCAGGGAAUAACUUGAGUUAAUAAAUCAGAGAUGAGUCCAAAGUUCUGUAAACAAGUUUCAACAUUUCUGGGCACCUGAGAUUAAGCACAGCUCUGAGAAGUGCUCCACACGUUCCUAAGUAUAUGAUGCAAGUUUUACUUUGGCAAGAAAAUGUAACUAUAUCUAGUACCCACCUUAGGAACAUGAAUGACGAAAUGGAGAUUUCACAUUUGCCAGAUGAAUAGGACUAAUGUAGAAAAACAAAUCAAACUGUCCUUUACUCUCAGUCAACCCCCUUCUCAAUAACAAAAACAUCCACAUAUCCACAUUGUCCAUCUAUUUUAAGGUCAAUAUAGUAUGGAUAUUAUACCAACUUGCAAAAAUAAAUUAAACCACUUACCACAGGUAUCCUCCAACAUCAUUGGCACCAUUAAAUAACAUUCAUUCAGAACUACUUUUAGUGAAUGUAGAUACUUAAUGUUUACAGACGAGGAAAUCUGAAUGGUACGAAACAAACAGAGACUUGUUCAAGGUCUCACACUGACUCAGCAGCAAAGUCCACAUAGGAAGUGAAUGUUCCUGAAGUAGCACAUUUUGUUUGGACUACAAGACCAACUGAGUUAUUAUCUUUAUUUGAAAAUGAUUCAUGCAAGUCUGCCACAGAUGAAGGCAAGCUGUGGAAUUCUUACUCAAACUCUUUGUUGUUAUUAUGGGAAAGCUUCAAGUCUGGGGUUUUUUGUUUGUUUGUUUAAUACCUCAUAUUUGUUAUCCGAAAAAAACAAACAGCGUUCAUUCACCUGUCAAGCAACAAACGACUCUCCACGAGAAUGCAGAUUUUGAUCAAUAGGAGUUUUAUUACUUGGCUCAAGUAAGGGGAGCACUGGGUGUAUUCUCCAAAGCAGUGUCUCCCUGAGGGAAAGUGGCAGGAGGGUUUUAUGGGGUGAUGGAGAGGGGAGAGGGUGCAUUAUCGCAUGUAGAUGAGGGGUCCCAGCGGUGCAGACACAGUGUCAUCAUGGCAACACAUGGGUUACAUGUUAUGAUAACGGAACUACAGUUCCUCCAGGAUGGAGACGUUACAGUCAUGAGGAAGAUUCACCAGGGUUCAUCUCUAAGUUGCCAGGGUCUGUCAGGAGCUGGUUUCAACCAACUAGGUUACUAUAGUCCACCCAGGGUUUAGGGAAGAACAGGCUGCAGGGCAGGAAGCUGUAAAUCAGGCUGAUGGCUCACGUGGAUUAAACUCCUAUGGUUCCUAGAGACCCUCCUUGUCUGCUUAUAUAUCCUAGAACUGAAAAAUAAAUUGAAAAGUGAAGUGGUUAUGGUGGUCGCACUUCUGAAUUCUGGUAUGCCCCUCCUACCUCCCCCUACUAAGUAAAGAAAGAUAAAUCAGUCGUCUUAACAGUAUUUAAAACAGCCCUUCCCAAAAACUCAAUACAUGAAACUUUCUUUCUAGUUGAUCUUUGUACCAAAUGAUCUGGCCAAUAAAGGAAUAAAAUCUUUGAGCUCAAAUAACCAUGAAAAUGCAAUACCCGAUUUUCCUAAAUGCACUUCCUAAUGUGAAGGCCAUUCACAAAAGCAAAUAUCCACCCCAGAUUCUACUGGGUAUGAAACAUCUCAAUGACUGAUACUUCAUCUUAUCACCUGAAAAUUAAAUAAUUUUAUUACAAAAAGAAUUAGUAGAUUAUAUUGCUAAAUCAAGUUUAGCCUAGAGCUGCCUCCUUACAUAUUUUAAGUUCAGUCUAAACGUUUCUCUGUAGGUAAUGAACUGUAACCUCACUGGACGUGUAAACAGACUGUGACCUACCUACUCUUGUGCCAAUCAUGGAGUUUCAGCCAAUCACAGGCGGCCGGCUGUUCAAACCAUGUUUAAAUAAGGCAAACGCAGAGCUGUAAGCAAUCUAGGUGUUUCUGCACCUCUCGUCCAUUUUCUGUAAGUCCUUUUUCUGUUCAUAAAUCUUCUUCCAUCACGUGGCUGUGCUGGAGUCUUUGAACCUACCCUGCCUCGGGAGGCUGCCCCAAUCAGCAAUUUGUUCUUUGCUCAAUUAAACUCUAUUAAUUUAAUUUGCCUAAAAAUUUUUUAACAAUGUUUACUAGUAAAUUUCAUUUUUUCUUGCAAAAAAGAAAAAAUCCUGAAAACAGGAGUAGGGAAAGAUUGAUGGCUAAAAUUAAAUAUGGUUAACUUUAAUAUUUUAACUUAUCACAAGAAAAUUGCAUUGCUUUGGACUAUAAAAGUGAUACAUAAAUCUUUCACUUCAGUAGCGCCAUCACCAUCAUCAAAUAUUUAAAAACUUACAUAUGAAAAGAAAUAUGGUGGGGAGGGAAGUAGACAGAAACAGUUAAGAAACUAGGACAUAAUAAGACAGCAAAAUUCCUGUUGGUUUAUUUUUUGCUUGUUUCCUUGCUUAGUAUUCUCUGAUAGCCAAAGAAUAGACGAAAUAUUCUAAGAGCCAACGAAUAGACAAAAUUGGGCAGCUGCUUCUGGAAUACAAAGGUACAAAUCCUUAGAAAGUUCUUCUGAGCAGAUAAUCUUCCCAGAGCCUUGACACAAAUGUGAUCAUUAGAAUUUUAUUUCUCUGGGUUAAAAGUAACCUCAGGGAAGACAGCACUGUUGAGAGGCAUUUACAUCACUGAAAAUUAUUUUGGCAUAACAUUUUAAAUAUAAAAACCAGCUUGGAAAAUGAGAGACGCUGGAAAAUGCAAAAGCCUGUGUACAUGGGGCCUAUGCUUUAGGUUGGAGAGCCAGGACCCCGGGCGAGAGAGAACAAGCUAAAUGACCUGAGUUAAGUGACUUGGUCACUGCUGCAAACUUUGCUUCCUCAUCCAUUAAUUGAAGAUAACAAAAGUAAGAACCUAUCGCACAGGAUGGCAGGGAGGACUAAAUUAGCACGACAAUGACCAUCAGAAAAUAUGUGCUCAUUACACAUUAACCAUUUCUCUUCCUCUCGUUCCUCUCCUUUACUUCUUCUACCAGCAUCACCUCCAUUGCCACUUCACAACCUCACUACCCCAUUGCUAAUUUUGUCUUAAGGCAUGCUAGAGGUUUAAAUAAUAAUCAAGUAUACUGCUUUUCACUUAUCAUUAGCAAAAGCUUUUGAACAAGCCUAUGAACAAGAAGAAGCUACGUUCUCCCA